rnacentral:tRNA from 1 species
CUAAAUGAAGCUGUUGGAGCAUCUUAUUUACAUUAAGGGGGACUUUAGAAAUAAAGCAUUUUGA